rnacentral:lncRNA from 1 species
UGUCAGGAAAUGCCCAGUGAAUACCAUUUUCAGCCAGUUUUUAAAAUUCCCCACAGGGCUGUGUUCUCUCCCAGCUUGUUGUGACUGACUGAUCUUUUUGGAAGCUUCUGGGUUCCUGGCACUGAGCUUCAAAGAUGUGCUGCUGCUGGGGAUUACAGCAUGGAUGGCACUGGGAUCUGCUAAUCCUUCAUCCCCACUGCAACCUCUGCUGUUCCUAUUCAAACAGCAUUUUGGAAAGGUUCCUGUAAAUAGUUUUCCGGAGUUGGAAAUGCUUUUAUGAUUGAAAAUGCACAUUUCUCAUGGGCACUCACGGAACUGAAACAGCGUGAUUUGCAAGCUUGCUAAAUGGAUUUCUUCCAAGCCACUCAUUGGGGUAUGUCAUCAAAGCUUAACAGCAUCAAAUAGAAUUCCAUCCAGGAAAAGUAUUAAAAAACCACCUCUGUACAGCUCUAUUUUUCAGUGAAUUCUCAGCAGCAGAGAGGUGAGGGGGUAGGAAGGGUGUUAUUGGAUUUCAGGGUUGUAGCGUGGAAACCAAACCCUGGCUUUAUUUUUUGGUUUGAUUGAAUUCCUGGUGAAGUUUGCUCAUGCCUUACAUUGGGAGAGCUCUGGAACGAGGCUGUUUGCUCAUGGAUUGGACUGGCAGUGCUGGGAAAGCACGAAACUGAAAUGUCAGAAGCUUUUAUAUUUGCAGAGAAUCUUUUUCUGACUUUGAUGAGGAAAAUCUGACAUUUUGGAAGUGUGGUGCUCAAGAAUCCAUGGCUUUUUCCCCCCUUUUCUCCCCUUCCUGAAGAUAAAAGGGGGCUGCUG